rnacentral:misc_RNA from 1 species
GAAUUCAUUUGGAAAUGAAUUCACCAUUUAGCAGGAUACAAUUUAAAAUGUAUCAUUCAGUUUAAUUUCAUAUAGUUCAUGUUUGGUGUAAUUCCAUUAUUGAAAUUCAUUUAUUUUCACUUUCUAAACUACCCUCAUAAUAAAAUUAAAAAAUUAUGAUUUCCUUCUAUAUCAAAAAAAAUCUUUUAUCUAAUAUAAAUUUAUAAUAAUUAAUGGACAUAUGAACCAAUUAAUGAUUUAUAUAUGGAGGUCCAUAAAAAGUUAAAAACAUAAAUAUUGUCAUCACCUAAGUGCAUAAUAAACUUAGAUAUUGAAAAGGUAAUACAAAUAAAUAAGAGCUUCUAAAUUUCCAAGGGUAAUGUAGUUAAUAUAUAUAUAUUUGUAUUAAUUUCAUGGAAUUCAUUUCAAAUCCAUCAAGUUUGAAGAGAAUUAGUUUUAAACUUAAUUAUAACCAACUCUAUGGAGUUGAAUUUCUAGAAUUAAAUUCUUACUUUUUUCACAAACCAAACACACAAACUAUGGAAUUCAAUUGAACUCCACAAAAUCUUGUGAAAUUCAUUUUAACCAAACAGGCCCUUAAGUAAUUUUGGAGAAAGCCUUGCCUCCCUAAUUUGAAACCCUUGUAGAGUUUGAUGAUUUAAGAUUCAUAGCUUGUGAAUGUAAUUUCAGCUUUGAGCUCUAUCUUUUUUUCAAAACAGUCACAUGGAUAACUAAUAACUUUAAUGAUUUUGUUAUGGACGCAUAAGGUGAAUCUUGCAACCUUCCAUAUAACGGGAGAGGCACAACUCUAGUUUUACAUAUUAGAACAAGAAGAGCCCCGACUAUCGUGGAAU